GUUAGGAAUAUUGGACAAUGGGCGCAAGCCUGAUCCAGCCAUGCCGCGUGAGUGAUGAAGGCCUUCGGGUUGUAAAGCUCUUUAGUCCACGAAUAUAAUGACUGUAGUGGAAGAAUAAGCCCCGGCUAACUUCGUGCCAGCAGCCGCGGUAAUACGAAGGGGGCGAGCGUUAUUCGGAAUCACUGGGCGUAAAGCGUGCGUAGGCUGUUUUGUAAGUCAGAAGUGAAAGCCCAGGGCUUAACCCUGGAAUUGCUUUUGAAACUACAAGACUCGAAUUCGGGAGAGGAUAUCGGAAUUGUCAGUGUAGCAGUGAAAUGCGUAGAUAUUGACAGGAACACCAGUGGCGCAAGCGGCUAUCUGGACCGAUAUUGACGCUGAGGCACGAAAGCGUGGGGAGCAAACAGGAUUAGAAACCCCAGUAGUCC
rnacentral:rRNA from 1 species